rnacentral:tRNA from 1 species
GAGAGUAUAGCUUCAGUGGUAGAGUGUGUGCUUAGCAUACACGAGGUCCUGGGUUCAAUCCCCAGUACUUCCA